GACGAACGCUGGCGGCGUGCUUAACACAUGCAAGUCGAACGGAAAGGCCCUGCUUUUGUGGGGUGCUCGAGUGGCGAACGGGUGAGUAACACGUGAGUAACCUGCCCUUGACUUUGGGAUAACUUCAGGAAACUGGGGCUAAUACCGGAUAGGAGCUCCUGCUGCAUGGUGGGGGUUGGAAAGUUUCGGCGGUUGGGGAUGGACUCGCGGCUUAUCAGCUUGUUGGUGGGGUAGUGGCUUACCACGGCUUUGACGGGUAGCCGGCCUGAGAGGGUGACCGGCCACAUUGGGAAUGAGAUACGGCCCAGACUCCUACGGGAGGCAGCAGUGGGGAAUAUUGCACAAUGGGCGGAAGCCUGAUGCAGCAACGCCGCGUGCGGGAUGACGGCCUUCGGGUUGUAAACCGCUUUCGCCUGUGACGAAGCGUGAGUGACGGUAAUGGGUAAAGAAGCACCGGCUAACUACGUG
rnacentral:rRNA from 1 species